UAGCUAGUUGGUGAGGUAAAGGCUUACCAAGGCGACGAUCUGUAGCGGGUCUGAGAGGAUGAUCCGCCACACUGGAACUGAGACACGGUCCAGACUCCUACGGGAGGCAGCAGUGGGGAAUUUUGGACAAUGGGGGCAACCCUGAUCCAGCCAUGCCGCGUGAGUGAAGAAGGCCUUCGGGUUGUAAGGCUCUUUCGGCCGGGAAGAAAUCGCAUGGGCCAAUACCCUGUGUGGAUGACGGUACCGGAAUAAGAAGCACCGGCUAACUACGUGCCAGCAGCCGCGGUAAUACGUAGGGUGCGAGCGUUAAUCGGAAUUACUGGGCGUAAAGCGUGCGCAGGCGGUUUUGUAAGGCAGGCGUGAAAUCCCCGGGCUUAACCUGGGAACUGCGUUUGUGACUGCAAGGCUAGAGUACGGCAGAGGGGGGUGGAAUUCCACGUGUAGCAGUGAAAUGCGUAGAGAUGUGGAGGAACACCAAUGGCGAAGGCAGCCCCCUGGGUCGAUACUGACGCUCAUGCACGAAAGCGUGGGUAGCAAACAGGAUUAGAUACCCUGGUAGUCCACGCCCUAAACUAUGUCAACUAGGUGUUGGGUGGGUAAAACCAUUUAGUACCGUAGCUAACGCGUGAAGUUGACCGCCUGGGGAGUACGGCCGCAAGGUUAAAACUCAUAGGAGUUGACGGGGACCCGCACAAGCGGUGGAUGAUGUGGAUUAAUUCGAUGCAACGCGAAAAACCUUACCUACCCUUGACAUGCCAGGAACUUGCCAGAGAUGGCUUGGUGCCCGAAAGGGAGCCUGGACACAGGUGCUGCAUGGCUGUCGUCAGCUCGUGUCGUGAGAUGUUGGGUUAAGUCCCGCAACGAGCGCAACCCUUGUCGUUAAUUGCCAUCAUAUAGUUGGGCACUUUAACGAGACUGCCGGUGACAAACCGGAGGAAGGUGGGGAUGACGUCAAGUCCUCAUGGCCCUUAUGGGUAGGGCUUCACACGUCAUACAAUGGUCGGUACAAAGGGUUGCCAAGCCGCGAGGCGGAGCCAAUCCCAGAAAGCCGAUCGUAGUCCGGAUUGCAGGCUGCAACUCGCCUGCAUGAAGUCGGAAUCGCUAGUAAUCGUGGAUCAGCAUGUCACGGUGAAUACGUUCCCGGGUCUUGUACACACCGCCCGUCACACCAUGGGAGCGGGUUCCGCCAGAAGUAGGUAGCCUAACCGCAAGGGGGGCGCUUACCACGGCGGGGUUCGUGACUGGGGUGAAGUCGUAACAAGGUAGCCGUAGGGGAACCUGCGGCUG
rnacentral:rRNA from 1 species